UUCACUGGACGUUGCGCGCGUCGCGCAGUUCCUUCUUCACAAAUGCAAAGAGCACAUCGCUGUCGGUAUCGGCGUUCCGCAGUCACAUCUCACGCCGAUCAUGUGGGAUGAUGUAUUCUCAUUUGCGAUCGAGGAUAUCUACGGUUUCUCUGAAAGUGAUUAUUCACUUCCUGUCAUUCACCUGAUCGACGGACGCACGCUCGAUGUGUGUGGGUUACUCAAUGAUUUCAUGGAAUGUGCGCAUUACCGCGCCUGCU
rnacentral:misc_RNA from 1 species